UACGAAGGGGGCUAGCGUUGUUCGGAAUUACUGGGCGUAAAGGGCGCGUAGGCGGCGUGUCAAGUCAGGCGUGAAAGCCCCGGGCUCAACCUGGGAACCGCGCUUGAGACUGGCAUGCUCGAGUUCGGGAGAGGAUGGUGGAAUUCCCAGUGUAGAGGUGAAAUUCGUAGAUAUUGGGAAGAACACCGGAUGGCGAAGGCAGCCAUCUGGACCGACACUGACGCGUG
rnacentral:rRNA from 1 species